rnacentral:ncRNA from 1 species
AAGGUGGUGGUCUAUAGCUAGGCCUAGAGGAUGAUCAACCUCACUGGGAAUAAGACAAAGCCCAUCAGUGGGAAAUUUUUUGCUAUGGGCGAUAGCCCGACGGGGUAACUCUGGAUUGAAGUAGGAGGCCCAUGAGUCAUGAACUUCUUUUCUCGAAGAAGAAGUAAUGAUGGUAUUUAGGAAAUAAGCAUCGGCUAACUAUGUGUCAACAGCCGAGGUAAUACAGAGGACGUAAGCAUUAUCUGGACUGAUUAGG